rnacentral:snRNA from 1 species
AGCGGCUGGAAGAGCACCGCA